rfam:Salmo salar isolate Sally breed double haploid chromosome ssa06, whole genome shotgun sequence.
UCAUCUUUGUGUUGUAAGUCGCUGUGGAUAAGAGCGUCUGCUAAAUGACGUAAA